CCACUGUGAAGCAAGUACUAUACUUUAUUCAAUCCUGAAAGGACACAGCCGAUAUGCUAUUCGCCGAGCAGCACCCAAUACGAACCUUCCUCAGAAAUCAGGAAGCAAGGCUUACAAAGUAACAUAUAGGAAACUAUUCUCCAUAUCACACUGUUGCGGCGCGCAACCAUGUCUAGAUAACGUACUUGUAGCGGCGUGCCAUCUGAUCCACAUAUAUAUAUUUC
rnacentral:lncRNA from 1 species